CAGCAGCCGCGGGAAUACGAAGGGGGCUAGCGUUACUCGGAAUUACUGGGCGUAAAGGGCGCGUAGGCGGCACGAUUAGUCAGGCGUGAAAUUCCUGGGCUCAACCUGGGGACUGCGCUUGAUACGGUCGAGCUAGAGGAUGGAAGAGGGUUGUGGAAUUCCCAGUGUAGAGGUGAAAUUCGUAGAUAUUGGGAAGAACACCGGUGGCGAAGGCGGCAACCUGGUCCAUUACUGACGCUGAGGCGCGACAGCGUGGGGAGCAAACAGGAUUAGAUACCCCUGUAGUCCCUGUCUCUUAUAC
rnacentral:rRNA from 1 species